CCCUAUACAUUCGGCCUAUGGGCACUAGUCAAAAGUAGUGCACUAUAAAGAGAAUAGGGAAGUCAUUUGGGAUGCUGAUUAAGCCUCACAUUGGGGACAGAUUGAUUAAAAAAUGUGUUUAAUACAGUAAUGCACAGUUACUGCACACACACACACACACACACACACACACACACACACACCCUACUCCAGGGAAUUGACAGAUGGCCAUUAGUAGUAAUUGGUAGAACUGACUGAAUGAAGUAAUAGAAUAAGCAGGAUAGACAGGAGACAGGGGGAGAGCAGGAGAGAAAGGAGGUAGGGAGGGAGACAGGAGAGAGCAGGAGAGAAAGGAGGUAGGGAGAGAGACAGGAGAGAAAGGAGGUAGGGAGGGAGUCUGGGGAGAGCAGGAGAGAAAGGGAUGGAGGUAGGGAAGAAAGGAGGUAGGGAGGGAGUCUGGGGAGAACAGGAGAGAAAGGAGGAAGGGAGAGAGUACGAGAGACAGGAGAGAAGGGGUGGGGGGGGUCAGCGGAGGAGCCAGAGAGGUAGAGAGCAAAUGCUGGUAACCUAUCUCCCUUACACACACAUCCCUCACAGCCAGAUCUCACAGCAUUAUCAGACUUGGACGUUGAGCAAGCCAACAUUUGUUGCGAAAGCUUUGCACAUUUGAGCGGAAAGGACAUGCAAAUACAGUUCACAUUAGCAUUUCAUAUCUUUAGGGCAACAUAGGCUGGGUUAUGCCAGGGAUUGUGUGUUGUACGUGUGUGUGUGUGUGUGUGUGUGUGUGUGUGUGUGUGUGUGUGUGUGUGUGUGUGUGUGUGUGUGAACGACGUGGCGAGCAGCAGAGGACUCGAGCAGAACAGAAACAGGAUUCACUCUUAGGGGCGUCUUUAUUUCACAAGCACAUAGCAUCAUUUACCCUGAUAUUUAAAACCAUAAAGACAAAACAGACAUGGACACAGGCUGUAUCUGUUAAAGAGUAUAAUUAACAACUACUGUGUUUAUGAAAGGGGGGCUUGCCUUGCAGAAAGUAACAAUGUGUUAAAAACAACCAAUUAAAGAAUUAAAGGGACAUUUAAAACCAAUUUCACAGCUGGUUACAGCCUGGGUGGUCAUUGUCAUAGUACAUUUCCAUAACAAUGAAGUUUCACUUACUACAAACUGUAGAAGGUCUUGGAAACUGUUCACAUUACAAAACAAUAUAAAAGUGCCUAGCAGUGAAUAAGCAGUACGGUAUCAAAACACCACAGUCAAACAUAGACAUCGCAAGCAUAGCUUCACAGUAAAGUGUCAUAGCUUCACAGUAAAGUGUCAUAGCUUCACAGUAAAGUGUCAUAGCUUCACAGUAAAGUGUCAUAGCUUCACAGUAAAGUGUCAUAGCUUCACAAUAAAGUGUCAUAGCUUCACAGUAGUGUCAUAGCUUCACAGUAAAGUGUCAUAGCUUCACAGUAAAGUGUCAUAGCUUCACAGUAGUGUCAUAGCUUCACAGUAGUGUCAUAGCUUCACAGUAGUGUCAUAGCUUCACAGUAGUGUCAUAGCUUCACAG
ensembl:lncRNA